rnacentral:lncRNA from 1 species
AAGUUUAAAAUAUGAAUAAAGAGCAAGAGGCUAUUAAAAUGAUCAAUCAGAUUUGAAAAAUAACUAAAAGCAGUACUUCCAGAAUUUAGAAAACACCUUGCAGCGCUGCCUUUCGAUCCCUCCACAUCUCGGUGGCGCGGUACUUGUGGGGAACGUUUUCGUGUUUGGCUGCCUGUGCGCAUAGAUUUGCAAACUGACUUCCAUCCUCCAACUGCUUUUGCUGUUCCCUCUUGCACAGCGUUCCCAUGUUGUCUUUAACUUGGGG